GGUUUUGCCUUCCCUCGCAUUCUCCUCUCUCAUAUUCCGUGUUUCUUCUUCUUCUGUUCUGAUAGAAAGAUUCUGUCUGAGUCAUUCAUUUCCAUCUCAGAGUGCCAAACAAAGCCUUAAAUAAUGUAAUAAAACCUAAAUAUAAUAAAAGAUUCAGCAAUUGUCUAAUGCAAGAGACGCUCCUCGGUGUAUUUCAACCCAACUCCGCCGCAGAUAAAGAAGACAAACAAAUCGAACUCCUUGUCCCGUCUCCUUGCCACUUGGUGGGCACCCGGACCCUAUCGCAGCCCAGCUGCCGGCGCGUGAAUCCCACGCGCGGCGAAAUCACAGCCGUUGUUUCUGAAAGGAUCCUCCCCAACGGCGACAUUUACACCGGGACUUUGUCCGGUAGCGUGCCUCACGGGAAGGGAAAGUACCUGUGGUAUGAUGGCUGCAUGUACGAAGGUGAGUGGAAGAGAGGCAAAGCCUGCGGGAAUGGCAAGUUCUCAUGGCCGUCAGGAGCCACAUACGAGGGCCAGUUUAAGGACGGCCGGAUGGACGGUCACGGCACGUUUAUAGGCCUCGACGGUGACACAUACAAAGGGCAGUGGCUGUCAGACCGGAAGCACGGCUUUGGUGAGAAGCGGUACGCCAAUGGAGAUGUGUACCAAGGCUGGUGGAGGUCCAACUUGCAGGAUGGUGAAGGGAAGUACAGGUGGAGCAAUGGGAACGAAUACUCCGGCCAGUGGAAGCAUGGGGUGAUUGAUGGAAAGGGUGUUUUGAUUUGUGCCAACGGGAACAGAUAUGAAGGGCUGUGGGAAAAUGGUGUUCCUAAAGGGAAAGGGGUCUUCACUUUUUCUAAUGGGAAUAACAGAAAUGAAGGGAAUUUCAAGGAUGCUAGGAAGAGGUCGUCUGUGGAUUCCAAUGUUCCCAGGAUUUGUAUAUGGGAAUUGGAUGGAGAAGCUGGAGAUAUUACCUGCGAUAUUGUUGACAAUUUGGAGGCUUCAAUAAUGUCAUAUGAUGAUAAAGAUGGUGACAGUAAUGUUAAUGGUAAUGGUAAGGAGAAUCACAAUGCCAGAGCAAGAGAGGCUGGGCAGUGCCAGAAAAGCCCUUGUAGCUCUGCUGAUGAUGAUGUUAAGAAACCAGGGCAAACGAUUUCAAAAGGGCAUAAGAAUUAUGAUCUAAUGCUUAACCUUCAAUUGGGUAUCAGGUAUUCUGUGGGGAAGCAUGACUCGAUGAUAAGGGAACUGAGGCAAUGUGAUUUUGAUCCCAAGGAGAAGUAUUGGACGAGGUUUCCACCGGAAGGAUCAAAAUCUACGCCGCCACAUCAGUCAGUUGACUUCAAAUGGAAGGAUUACUGUCCCAUGGUUUUCAGACAUCUGAGGGAAUUGUUUGCAAUAGAUCCGGCGGAUUACAUGGUAGCUAUUUGUGGAAAUGAUGCACUUAGGGAAUUUUCUUCCCCUGGAAAGAGUGGAAGCUUCUUUUACCUGACGCAAGACGACAGAUUUAUGAUAAAAACUGUGAAGAAAUCCGAAGUUAAGGUUCUCAUUAGGAUGCUUCCAAGUUAUUACCAACAUGUUUGCCAGUACAAGAACUCCUUAGUAACAAAGUUCUUUGGUGUACAUUGUGUGAAAUCAGUUGGAGGUCAAAAGAUCCGUUUUAUUGUAAUGGGCAAUUUGUUUUGUUCCGAGUACCGUAUCCAUAAACGCUUUGACCUGAAGGGUUCUUCUUAUGGCCGCGCUACUGACAAAGCUGAGGGACAAAUUGAUGAGACAACCACACUUAAAGACCUGGAUCUUAAUUUCAUUUUUCUCCUUGAACGGUCAUGGUAUCAAGAACUCAUCAGGCAAAUAUAUAGAGAUUGUGAGUUCUUAGAAGCUGAAGGGAUCAUGGAUUAUAGUCUUUUAAUUGGUCUUCACUUCCGUGAUGAGGUGAAGAUGCCACUAAAAGUCCUUUAUUUUGAAAAAAGAAAUAUGUGUCAGGAUAAGACCUCAAUGCGAGGUUAUCACCUGCUGCCAGAUAUGGAUUGGGUUAUGGAAGGACGGGGCCCAUUUAUCCGGCUGGGGGCGAACAUGCCUGCGAGAGCGGUGUGUGUGCCAAGAAUAGAGUUAGACCAGUACGCAGGUGGUGGAGGCAUCAAUUCAACACCUACACAGGUUGUUGGUGAGAUCUUUGAGGUGGUUCUCUACUUUGGUAUCAUUGACAUUCUCCAAGAUUAUGAUAUAAGCAAAAAGCUAGAACAUGCAUACAAGUCCUUGCAAGUGGAUGCCACGUCGAUCUCAGCUGUUGAUCCAAAGCUAUAUUCAAAAAGGUUCCGGGAUUUCAUACACAGAAUCUUUGUGGAGGACAAGUGAAGGAGACGGAAAGAGUGAAUGAAAAACUGGAUAAUUUAGCACUGCAACUAAAAUCUGGGUGAGACCUGCAGGAAGCAGGGUGCUGGAUGUGCGAGUUUCCUGGGCUGUGGAUGAAAUGCUGAUGUACCCAUGUAUUCAGGCUGGUUGAUAGCUGAAUUUUUUUAGAAUCACCAUGGUGAACAAAGGAAAUUUCAGGCAAAUAAAGUGAUCUUUCUUUGUUUUGGUUUAUUGUGAGAAUUGAGACGCCCAGAAACACAAGGAAACUGAGUGCAGAAAGUACAGAAAUGGUUCUGGCUGAGUUCAAAAUAGGGAGGGAUUGGAUUGGUGUAAAAAAGUGUACAGUCAAAAGCAAAGAAAGGAUGAAUAUCUGUUGUGUGUCCCCACACAUCCAAAGAGAGGGAGCGAGAGAUUGGAAUUGAGUGGAGCGUGUUAAACAAUAUUCAAAUUUAGAACCGAUGGUUUGGUCUGCUGGCUGAGCAAAGAAGAAAAGAGAAAAUGAUGAGCCUCU
rnacentral:misc_RNA from 1 species